UUAAAAACUUUAGCGCCAGGCUGAUAUAAGUCAGCUGACGAGGUGAAGGGUUAUCGAGGUGAUUUCGGCGGGUGCCCUUCCGGACCGCACAAUACGUUAGCUUCAUUACAAAAAGGGAGGCGACUCCUGAACAAAAGGUGGAGCAGUGCAUAAA
rfam:Eubacterium ruminantium strain ATCC 17233 genome assembly, contig: EI46DRAFT_scaffold00002.2